AGCAGCCGCGGUAAUUCCAGCUCCAAUAGCGUAUAUUAAAAGUUGUUGCAGUUAAAAAGACUCGUAGUUGAAUUUCGGGAUUGACGUGAUGGUCGUGCCUUACGGGGUAUGAACUGUUGCUGUUGAUUUCUCACCUUCUGGAGAAACUUGAUGUCCUUAAUUGGGUGUCUUGCGGAUCCAGGACCUUUACCUUGAAAAAUUAGAGUGUUUAAAGCAGGCAUUUUGCUCGAAUACAUUAGCAUGGAAUAAUAGAAUAGGACGGCAUGGUUCUAUUUUGUUGGUUUCUAGGAUCACCGUAAUGAUUAAUAGGGAUAGUUGGGGGCAUUAGUAUUCAAUUGUCAGAGGUGAAAUUCUUGGAUUUAUUGAAGACUAACUACUGCGAAAGCAUUUGCCAAGGAUGUUUUCAUUAAUCAAGAACGAAAGUUAGGGGAUCGAAGACGAUCAGAUACCGUCGUAGUCUUAACCAUAAACUAUGC
rnacentral:rRNA from 1 species